CACACACACGUAUAUAUAUACGUAUAUGUAUACGUAUAUGUAUAUGUAUAUGUAUAUGUAUAUGUAUAUGUAUAUGUAUG